rnacentral:rRNA from 1 species
CCUACGGGUGGCAGCAGUGAGGAAUAUUGGUCAAUGGACGGAAGUCUGAACCAGCCAUGCCGCGUGCAGGAAGACGGCUCUAUGAGUUGUAAACUGCUUUUGUACAAGGGUAAACCUGAAUACGUGUAUUCAGCUGAAAGUACUGUACGAAUAAGGAUCGGCUAACUCCGUGCCAGCAGCCGCGGUAAUACGGAGGAUCCAAGCGUUAUCCGGAUUUAUUGGGUUUAAAGGGUGCGUAGGCGGACUGUUAAGUCAGCGGUAAAAGCCCGGGGCUCAACCCCGGCGAGCCGUUGAAACUGGCUGUCUUGAGAUGUCGAGAGGUAUGCGGAAUGCGCAGUGUAGCGGUGAAAUGCUUAGAUAUUGCGCAGAACUCCGAUUGCGAAGGCAGCAUACCGGCGGCGAUCUGACGCUGAGGCACGAAAGCGUGGGUAUCGAACAGGAUUAGAUACCCUUGUAGUC